rnacentral:miRNA from 1 species
UGCAUUUUUUGGUAAGACGAUGUUAACAAAAGUUGUUCCUCUUGAUGAGGGCUACAACUUUGCUUAAUAUCCUUUUAACAAAUUAUGCGUAUUUAAGAAGAUAGGUCCGCGCAUGCGCAGUAAGUAACUCGUUACGCUUGCAUUUUUUGGUAAGACGAUGUUAACAAAAGUUGUUCGUCUUGACGAGGGCUACAACUUUGCUUAAUAUCCUUUUAACAAAUUAUGCG